CAAAGUUUCUUUAUGUUGUAGUUAAAUUUAUUAAAUUUAUUGAUGAAAAUAGUAUUGUAAAUCUUCUAAGAUAUUGAAGGUAUGUAUUAAGUUAAGGUUGUAGACCUUGGGGAAUGAUGUGUAAAAGUUUAAUGUAUAAACAAUUUAUGUUUAUAUCUUCCGCAAUAGUGAUAGAAAUAGUAUACCGGAUCCGUAGCGAUUUGGGACCCGGAUUCGGG
rnacentral:lncRNA from 1 species